UACGGAGGAUGCAAGCGUUAUCCGGAAUUAUUGGGCGUAAAGCGUCCGCAGGUGGCAUAUCAAGUCUGCUGUCAAAGACCGAAGCUCAACUUCGGGCAGGCAGUGGAAACUGGUAAGCUAGAGUACGGUAGGGGUAGAGGGAAUUUCCAGUGUAGCGGUGAAAUGCGUAGAGAUUGGAAAGAACACCAGUGGCGAAGGCGCUCUACUGGGCCGUAACUGACACUCAGGGACGAAAGCUAGGGGAGCGAAAGGG
rnacentral:rRNA from 1 species